rnacentral:rRNA from 1 species
CGUGCCUAAUACAUGCAAGUCGAACGGUCUUUCUAUGGAAGCUUGCUUCCACUGAGAAGAUAGUGGCGAACGGGUGAGUAACACGUGGGUAACCUGCCCAUAAGAGGGGGGAUAACAUCCGGAAACGGGUGCUAAUACCGCAUAGUUUCUUGAUCGCAUGAUUGAGAAAGGAAAGACGGCCUUUGUGCUGUCGCUUAUGGAUGGACCCGCGGCGUAUUAGUUAGUUGGUGAGGUAACGGCUCACCAAGACGAUGAUACGUAGCCGACCUGAGAGGGUGAUCGGCCACAUUGGGACUGAGACACGGCCCAAACUCCUACGGGAGGCAGCAGUAGGGAAUCUUCCGCAAUGGACGAAAGUCUGACGGAGCAACGCCGCGUGAGUGAAAGAAGGUUUUCGGAUCGUAAAACUCUGUUGUCAGAGAAGAACAAGUUGGAGAGUAACUGCUCCAGCCUUGACGGUAUCUGACCAGAAAGCCACGGCUAACUACGUGCCAGCCGCCGC